GUGAACGCUGGUAACGUGGAUACCGGCAUGCAAGUCACGGGGGCCGCAAGGCAACCGGCGAACGGCUUAGUAACACGUGGGUACAUACCCUAAAGCGGAGCAUAGCUCGUCGAAAGACGGGGUAAUUCUCCAUAGUCUCGCAAGAGUAAAGCAGCAAUGCGCUUUAGGAAUGGCCUGCGGCCUAUCAGAUUGUUGGCGAGGUAAUAGCUCACCAAGUCUAUGACGGGUAGGGGGCGUGAGAGCGCGACCCCCAAGAAUGGCACUGCGACACGGGCCAUACUCCUACGGGAGGCUGCAGUCGAGAAUCUUCCGCAAUGGACGAAAGUCUGACGGAGCGACGUUACGUGAAUGAAGACGCCCUUCGGGGUGUAAAGUUCUUUUAUCUGGGAGGAAGCCGCAAGGCAGACAGUACCAGAUGAAUAAGGGGAUCCUAAUUCUGU
rnacentral:rRNA from 1 species